AGAGUUUGAUCCUGGCUCAGAUUGAACGCUGGCGGCAUGCCUUACACAUGCAAGUCGAACGGCAGCACGGGGGCAACCCUGGUGGCGAGUGGCGAACGGGUGAGUAACAUAUCGGAACAUACCCUAGAGUGGGGGAUAACGUAGCGAAAGUUACGCUAAUACCGCAUACGAUCUAAGGAUGAAAGUGGGGGAUCUUCGGACCUCAUGCUCAUGGAGUGGCCGAUAUCUGAUUAGCUAGUUGGUGAGGUAAAGGCUCACCAAGGCGACGAUCAGUAGCUGGUUUGAGAGAACGACCAGCCACACAGGAACUGAGACACGGUCCAGACUCCUACGGGAGGCAGCAGUGGGGAAUUUUGGACAAUGGGGGCAACCCUGAUCCAGCAAUGCCGCGUGAGUGAAGAAGGCCUUCGGGUUGUAAAGCUCUUUUGUCAGGGAAGAAACGGUGAGUUCUAAUACAGCUUGCUAAUGACGGUACCUGAAGAAUAAGCACCGGCUAACUACGUGCCAGCAGCCGCGGUAAUACGUAGGGUGCAAGCGUUAAUCGGAAUUACUGGGCGUAAAGCGUGCGCAGGCGGUUAUAUAAGUCAGAUGUGAAAUCCCUGGGCUCAACCUAGGAACUGCAUUUGAGACUGUAUGGCUAGAGUGUGUCAGAGGGGGGUAGAAUUCCACGUGUAGCAGUGAAAUGCGUAGAGAUGUGGAGGAAUACCGAUGGCGAAAGCAGCCCCCUGGGAUAACACUGACGCUCAUGCACGAAAGCGUGGGGAGCAAACAGGAUUAGAUACCCUGGUAGUCCACGCCCU
rnacentral:rRNA from 1 species